rnacentral:rRNA from 1 species
CCUACGGGGUGCAGCAGUGAGGAAUAUUGGUCAAUGGACGAGAGUCUGAACCAGCCAAGUAGCGUGAAGGAUGACUGCCCUAUGGGUUGUAAACUUCUUUUAUAUGGGAAUAAAAUGUUCCACGUGUGGGAUUUUGUAUGUACCAUAUGAAUAAGGAUCGGCUAACUCCGUGCCAGCAGCCGCGGUAAUACGGAGGAUCCGAGCGUUAUCCGGAUUUAUUGGGUUUAAAGGGAGCGUAGGUGGAUUGUUAAGUCAGUUGUGAAAGUUUGCGGCUCAACCGUAAAAUUGCAGUUGAAACUGGCAGUCUUGAGUACAGUAGAGGUGGGCGGAAUUCGUGGUGUAGCGGUGAAAUGCUUAGAUAUCACGAAGAACUCCGAUUGCGAAGGCAGUUCACUUGACUGCAACUGACACUGAGGCUCGAAAGUGUGGGUAUCAAACAGGAUUAGAUACCCCUGUAGUC